CCCUUAGAUGUUCUGGGCCGCACGCGCGCUACACUGACGACUUCAACGAGUUUUUUUCAUUUGAAAAAGUCCUUGGCCGGAAGGUCUUGGUAAUCUUUUAAAAGGUCGUCGUGAUGGGGCUAGAUUCUUGCAAUUAUUAAUCUCCAACGAGGAAUUCCUAGUAAACGCAAGUCAUCAACUUGCAUUGAUUACGUCCCUGCCCUUUGUACACACCGCCCGUCGCACCUACCGAUUGAACGUUCCGGUGAGACCUUGGGAUUUGGUCUUUGGUACUUUAUUGUGCCGUUGACCGAAAAACUUGAGCAAACCUUAACGUUUAGAGGAAGGUGAAGUCGUAACA
rnacentral:rRNA from 1 species